rfam:Calypte anna contig16906, whole genome shotgun sequence.
GUGCUCACUUCGGCAGCACAUAUACUAAAAUUGGAACGAUAUAGAGAAGAUUAACAUGGCCUCUGCGCAAGAGGCCAAAUUCUUGAAGCGUUCCAUAUUUUU